rnacentral:rRNA from 1 species
ACUUGUACCAACUGGAUGAGCAGCGAACGGGUGAGUAACGCGUGGGGAAUCUGCCUUUGAGCGGGGGACAACAUUUGGAAACGAAUGCUAAUACCGCAUAAAAACUUUAAACACAAGUUUUAAGUUUGAAAGAUGCAAUUGCAUCACUCAAAGAUGAUCCCGCGUUGUAUUAGCUAGUUGGUGAGGUAAAGGCUCACCAAGGCGAUGAUACAUAGCCGACCUGAGAGGGUGAUCGGCCACAUUGGGACUGAGACACGGCCCAAACUCCUACGGGAGGCAGCAGUAGGGAAUCUUCGGCAAUGGACGAAAGUCUGACCGAGCAACGCCGCGUGAGUGAAGAAGGUUUUCGGAUCGUAAAACUCUGUUGGUAGAGAAGAACGUUGGUGAGAGUGGAAAGCUCAUCAAGUGNCGGUAACUACC